rnacentral:tRNA from 1 species
GAUGGGGAAGCACAGUAGUUUAGAGCAUCCACCUGGGAUGUGGGAGACCUGGGUUCAAACCCCACUCUGCCU